rnacentral:rRNA from 1 species
UACGUAGGGUGCAAGCGUUGUCCGGAAUUAUUGGGCGUAAAGAGCUCGUAGGCGGUUUGUCGCGUCGGCUGUGAAAACUCGGGGCUCAACCCCGAGCCUGCAGUCGAUACGGGCAGACUAGAGUGCUGUAGGGGAGACUGGAAUUCCUGGUGUAGCGGUGAAAUGCGCAGAUAUCAGGAGGAACACCGGUGGCGAAGGCGGAUCUCUGGGCCUUACCUGACGCUCAGGCACGAAAGCUAGGGGAGCGAACAGG